rnacentral:rRNA from 1 species
GAGUUUGAACCUGGCUCAGGACGAACGCUGGCGGCGCGCCUAACACAUGCAAGUCGAACGGGGUUAUAGGAACAGCUUGCUGGGAAUAUAACUUAGUGGCGGACGGGUGAGUAACACGUGAGCAACCUGCCUUUCAGAGGGGAAUAACGUUUGGAAACGAACGCUAAUACCGCAUAACAUUGGGAUAUGGCAUCAUGACCCAAUCAAAGAUUUAUCGCUGAAAGAUGGGCUCGCGCCCGAUUAGGUAGUUGGUGAGAUAAUAGCCCACCAAGCCGACGAUCGGUAGCCGGACUGAGAGGUUGAACGGCCACAUUGGGACUGAGACACGGCCCAGACUCCUACGGGAGGCAGCAGUGGGGGAUAUUGCACAAUGGGGGGAACCCUGAUGCAGCGACGCCGCGUGAGGGAAGACGGUUUUCGGAUUGUAAACCUCUGUCUUUAGGGACGAAACAAAUGACGGUACCUAAAGAGGAAGCCACGGCUAACUACGUGCCAGCAGCCGCGGUAAUACGUAGGUGGCAAGCGUUGUCCGGAAUUACUGGGUGUAAAGGGAGCGUAGGCGGGAAUGCAAGUUGAAUGUUUAAACUAUGGGCUCAACCCAUAGUCGCGUUCAAAACUGCAUUUCUUGAGUGGAGUAGAGGCAGGCGGAAUUCCUAGUGUAGCGGUGAAAUGCGUAGAUAUUAGGAGGAACACCAGUGGCGAAGGCGGCCUGCUGGGCUCUAACUGACGCUGAGGCUC